rnacentral:rRNA from 1 species
UGGGGAAUAUUGCACAAUGGGCGCAAGCCUGAUGCAGCCAUGCCGCGUGUGUGAAGAAGGCCUUCGGGUUGUAAAGCACUUUCAGCGAGGAGGAAGGUGGUGGACUUAAUACGUUCAUCAAUUGACGUUACUCGCAGAAGAAGCACCGGCUAACUCCGUGCCAGCAGCCGCGGUAAUACGGAGGGUGCAAGCGUUAAUCGGAAUUACUGGGCGUAAAGCGCACGCAGGCGGUUUGUUAAGUCAGAUGUGAAAUCCCCGGGCUCAACCUGGGAACUGCAUUUGAAACUGGCAAGCUAGAGUCUCGUAGAGGGGGGUAGAAUUCCAGGUGUAGCGGUGAAAUGCGUAGAGAUCUGGAGGAAUACCGGUGGCGAAGGCGGCCCCCCUGGACGAAGACUGACGCUCAGGUGCGAAAGCGUGGGGCAGCAAACAGGAUUAGAUACCCUGGUAGUCCACGCUGUAAACGAUGUCGAUUUGGAGGUUGUGCCCUUGAGGCGUGGCUUCCGGAGCUAACGCGUUAAAUCGACCGCCUGGGGAGUACGGCCGCAAGGUUAAAACUCAAAUGAAUUG